rnacentral:rRNA from 1 species
CCGUAGGUGAACCUGCGGAAGGAUCGUUA